rnacentral:misc_RNA from 1 species
AAGUCAUAACAAGGUUUCCGUAGGUGAACCUGCGGAAGGAUCAUUAGUGAAUUUGGCCUCUGGCCUUAAAUACACACACACCGUGAACCGUGGCUUCGGCCCAAACUUUGAAGUAUUGAAUGUAUAAUAUCAUAACAAAAACACAA